AGCAGCCGCGGUAAUUCCAGCUCCAAUAGCGUAUAUUAAAGUUGUUGCAGUUAAAAAGCUCGUAGUUGAAUUUCGGGAUCAAUAUGUCGGUCGUGCCUUCGGUACGUACUGGUAUCAUUGGUCUCUCCUUUCUGACGAACCAUGAUGUCAUUAAUUUGGUGUUAUGGGGAGUUAGGACUGUUACUUUGAAAAAUUAGAGUGUUUAAAGCAGGCUUUAGCUUGAAUACAUUAGCAUGGAAUAAUGAAAUAGGACGUUCGAACCUAUUUUGUUGGUUUCUAGGAUCAACGUAAUGAUUAAUAGGGAUAGUUGGGGGCAUUAGUAUUCAAUUGUCAGAGGUGAAAUUCUUGGAUUUAUUGAAGACUAACUACUGCGAAAGCAUUUGCCAAGGAUGUUUUCAUUAAUCAAGAACGAAAGUUAGGGGAUCGAAGACGAUCAGAUACCGUCGUAGUCUUAACCAUAAACUAUGCCGACUAGGGAUCGGAUGAUGUUAAUUUUUAAUGACUCAUUCGGCGCCUUAAC
rnacentral:rRNA from 1 species